GACAGAGGGUGCAAACGUUGUUCGGAAUUACUGGGCGUAAAGCGCGUGUAGGCGGCUAAGUAAGUCGGGCGUGAAAUCCCACGGCUCAACCGUGGAAGUGCACUCGAAACUGCAUAGCUAGAGUCCUGGAGAGGAAGGUGGAAUGCUUGGUGUAGAGGUGAAAUUCGUAGAUAUCAAGCGGAACACCGGUGGCGAAGGCGGCCUUCUGGACAGUUCCUGACGCUGAGGCACGAAGGCCAGGGGAGCAAACGGG
rnacentral:rRNA from 1 species